UCAUGCAGGCACUUCAAGUCAAGGAACGUGAAUAGAUACCACUAUCUUUGUGCACAGUGUAUUUUGUCUCGACGGAAAGUCGCGUAUUAAUCAUUUGAAAUUGUUACAAGUGCACUCAUAGAUAGUGUAAUUGUCUUUGAUCAAAAAUCAGAAUUUGGAAUUUUGUUUGCAAGAUCUGCGUGUUACAAGAAUCAAAAUGUCCACAAGAAUAAUUCAUCGUUUAAUUCUAAAAUUCCACCAACCCAAUCAAAGAUGUAUUUUUAUGACCAGCAGACAGCAGAAACAUUCAACAUAUCGAACAAGAGCAGCAGGAGAGAAGAUUACCAAGUUAGCAGGAUCUGCAAGUAUGUCUCAAAUGGCUGCUUCUAAACCAGAAAACCCGAUCUCGAUUCAUCAAGAAAUGGUAGAUAGACAAGUCCUGUUUCCUGCUCAGUUUAAAGUAGCUGGUGACGACAGGAUACAACAAGUUAAUAAAAUAAAUGACGGUAGAAUGGUGGAAAUUAUCUGGAAGGACGGAAAACACUCAAAAUUUCACAGUAUUUGGUUACGACAUACUUGUCAUUGUCCAUCUUGUAAGAUAGAUGUAUCUGGUCAACCAACUGUAGCACUGACUGAAAUACCAUUAGAUGAUUUAUAUAUAACAGAUAUAGAUCUAACAGAGGAAAAUGUAUUAAAGGUGAUCUGGAAGGAAGGAGAUAAAACACACCAGGGUUAUCUCCCUUCGUCCUAUCUAAAGACAUAUUGUUAUUCGGAUGGAGAAAUAGAACGAAAAAGUAACGCCGCUCGAAUGACUUUUACUACAGAUCAGCUUUGAUUUCAUUUUCUGACUUUCAGUUUGUCGUAUUUCGAACUUUGACCUUUGACCUUGUCAAGAAUUAGAGUGAAGGUCAGCUUCGAGAGGUUAAUGAUUUUGUUGGUUUAACAUUAUAUUAUCAACUAGAACUAUUUUCUGUAACCAUAGAAACAGCCAAACUUAAAAUAACCCACCAAAUAAUAAUAAUUAAAAAAAAAAUAAUAAAAAAUAAAAUCUCUGCCCAUUUCCGUUUCCCUUUCAAUAUAUUUUUUUUUUACCAGAAUAUCAUGUAAUGUUUUUUUAUUUCUUGGUCUAUGUAUAAACAUCUAUGUUCUUUAUCCUUUUUGACAAGUGGGAGGGGCUGGGUUGGUUGAAGACUACAUCUGUUAAUAAAAUACUAAUCCUGUGUUUUUGGUUGUUUGUUUAUUUUAGACUAAGAUUCCUGAAAUUGACUAUAAAGAAGUGAUGGAAACACAGACAGGAUUAUAUCAAUGGUUAAGUAUUCUGGGUGAUCGAGGAUUAUGUAUGAUUAGAAAUGUUCCAACGGUAGAAGACCAUUUACUGAAGGUAGCAAGACGAGUGGCCUUACCACAACAUACCAUAUAUGGAGAUACGUUUGCUGUUAAAGACCAACCCAAGGCCAGUAAUGCUGCUUAUAGAAACAUUGCUUUAAAUUUACACAUGGAUCAACCAACAUAUGAAUCACCACCAGGAAUACAGAUGCUUCACUGUUUAAGAUUUGAUGAUAAAAUUGUUGGUGGAGACAGUGUAUUCGCUGACAUUCAUCAUAUUGUAGACGUAUUCAGACAAGAACAUCCAGACGAAUUUAAAACCUUAUGUCGGGUGCCUGUGACAUACGAAACUCUCGGUUAUGAAGAUGCUGCUGGGAGGGAACUUCCGGUUCAUUUACAGAUUAGACGACCAAGUAUAAGUCUCAAUAAUUAUGGAGAUGUUGUUGCUGUUGCUUACCACGAAAACCUCACCGGUCCUUUACAAGCUGAUGAGAAUGACGUGGAACCAUUUUAUAAAGCAUAUCAGAAGUUGAUUCAAGCUGUACACGCAUGGCCUUAUAAGUACAGAGCACGACUUCAGCCAGGUGACAUGAUAACCUUCCAGAACAGACGAGCGCUGCACGGUAGAGCUGCAUACGUUUCUAAUGGUGGAUUACGUCACCUCCAGGGGACCUAUAUUAAUAUUGAUGAAUUUAGAAGUAUGUUGAUAUAUCUACAGAAUACAGUCGGUGAUGGUUCACCAAUCAAAAGGAUGGGUUUACUUGAUAUGUAUUAAUUACUGGAUAAUUGAUCUACAGGGAUUAACUGGAUAAUUGUUCUAUAGCAAAACUGGAUAGUUGAUCUUUUGACAUAAAUGGAUAGUUGAUCGUUAGACAUGCCGACUGGACAAUUGGUCUAUCGACAUAGCAAUAGGAUAUGGUCUAUAGACUUGACAACUGGAUAAUUGGUCUAAAGACUUAACCACUGGAUAAUUGUUCUAUCAUCAUAACAAUUGGACAAUUUCUCUAUAGAUUUAGUGAAUCCCGAACCACUACAGGCCAGGGACGGUAAUACGCAAUGGAUGCUUACGGCCUGUCCCCAGAUUCAUUCCCUGUUUAUACCUCUUUGCAGGCCCGUACCUAGGGGACCCCCCGCUGCAAAUAGAUUCGCCCCCAAUAAUAAUUUAUAUAGGCCUGCCAUUUUAAUAAAUGUCUAAAUAAUAUUAUAUUAUAUUUGAAGCCAAACAGAAGACCUGCAAUAGACAGAUUUAGCUGUAACAUAAUGCAUUCUUAAUUUAAUCAUCGUUUACAUUAAACGGUGUAUAUAUCGCUGUUUAUUAUCAGAUUACAUAUAUAAUAUAUAAUAUUUAUUUAUAAAUCAUCUUUUAUAAAGACUAAUAUCUGAACAAAUGAAAUGAAAUGAAAUGGAGUUUAACGUCCUACUGUUCUGCUCCUAACCUGGGCUAAUGAAGACGGGCAUACGCCAUACAGUGUGCUAUGAGGGAAAUUUUGCCCGGACAGCGGCACUACAGCCUACUCAUAUAUCGAAUUCCAACUGCCAAGGGAUCUUUUACGUGCACGCCAAUGUGUACACGGGACCUCGGUUUUUCGUCCCAUCCGAACGACUAGACAGCUUUCCUUGUCAGCCCAAUAAGUAUAAUCAAAAUACAGAUGCGACGUCAUCCUUUGAUGUUGGAGUACCAUUAUUUCAAAUAAUCGUACGGGCAAUGUGCCAAGCGUAACUUGGUAAAAUAUUGAACUCGAGUGACGUAUUUCAUUGCAAAGCACGUGCAAGUGUCUGUAUUUUAAGUUGUUUAAUGGUCUCGAGCUUAAGACAUUGCGUAAUAUAUUGUAAAAACAUUCGGGACUCACGGCCCUCAUGUUGUUACAAUAUAUUACUUAAUGUCUCGCUCUCGACCAUUAAACAAUACAUAAACCACAUCAGAUUAUACGCCACGUCAUAUAAAACACUACGUCACAUGUAUGUUGUGAAAAUGAUUCGUCCAUUAUAUUGUAUAUUUAGACUUCUUGUUAAGAUCAGUUGUGAUUUACGUCUAUGUAUUAUGUCUAUUUUUAUUGUCAUGUCUAUAAACAACUGAUUAUUAUAUUUGCCGUGAUUUACUUCUAUUUUUAUUGUCAUGUCUAUAGAAAGAAUUGAUUAUUUGUUGAAGAUAUGUAUUAUUUGGCAAAUAUAUUUUGUACAAUUUGAAUAAAAUAUGAAUAUAAUGAA